UCUGAACAGCUCUACUAGAAGAAAGAGAGGGCGAUGGCAUUGGCUUUUGGCAAGCAGAGCAUCUUGGUGGUUGCCAUAUUUGUGGUACUAGGCGCGCUGGACCCUGGUUGGUGAAGGCGGAGGAUUGCCGGAAGGACAGAAGAGCUGGCAGCUGUCUGCGGCAAGUACUGCCUCAAAGAGAAGCCGCUUCCAUUUCCACCGUCCGCAAAUUGCUGCAGCAAGAUCAAGGCUGCCAACGUUGCCUGCGCCUGCCAAUAUGUCUCUCCCGCAGACGAGGAGGUCUACAACAUGAAAUUGGUUAACAGCCUCACCCGCAAGUGUGGCAAUCCCCUGCCUCUGCCUGUCGGAAUCAAAUGCGGAAGUUACUUCGUGCCCGAAGCUUGAAGACAGUGAAGGAGCUUCUUUCAUGAAUGGUUAUGUGUUUCUUUUGUGUGGAAUGAAGCACGUACCUAGAAUGUAUGUGCCUUGAUCUAUCAAGUGUGUACUCUAUCUAUGAUCUAAUAAAUAAAGCAAUGGGAGCAUUUCUAUUUGUACGAAUGUUGGGUGCUAUGGUUGUGGUUCAGUUUCAGACAUGGAGCUAGUCAAAGUGCUCCCCCUCCCACUUCCCCUA